rnacentral:rRNA from 1 species
GACGAACGCUGGCGGCGUGCUUAACACAUGCAAGUCGAACGAUGAAGCGGGUGCUUGCACUCGUGGAUUAGUGGCGAACGGGCGAGUAACACGUGAGUAACCUGUCCUUUUCUUUGGGAUAACGGCUGGAAACGGCUGCUAAUACUGGAUAUUCAGGCUGCAUCGCAUGGUGUGGUUUGGAAAGGUUUUUUCUGGGAUUGGGUGGGCUCGCGGCCUAUCAGCUUGUUGGUGGGGUGAUGGCUUACCAAGGCUUUGACGGGUAGCCGGCCUGAGAGGGUGGGUCGGCGCAAUGGGAAUGAGGUACGGCCCAGACUUCCUCCGGAGGGAAGAGUGGGGGAUAUUGCACAAUGGGCGAAAGGUUGAUGCCGCGACGGCGGGUGGAAGGUGGUGGCCCUUGGGUUGUGAACUCCUUUUUCCCGGGAAAAAGGCAAAGGUUUGGCCGUGUUGGUGGUAGUGGGGGAAGAAGCGCCGGCUAACUACGUG